rnacentral:rRNA from 1 species
UACGUAGGGGGCAAGCGUUAUCCGGAAUUAUUGGGCGUAAAGAGUGCGUAGGUGGUUACUUAAGCGCGGGGUUUAAGGCAAUGGCUCAACCAUUGUUCGCCCUGCGAACUGGGUUACUUGAGUGCAGGAGAGGAAAGCGGAAUUCCUAGUGUAGCGGUAAAAUGCGUAGAUAUAUGGAAGAACACCAGUGGCGAAGGCGGCCGCCUGGCCUGUUGCUGACGCUGAGGCACGAAAGCGUGGGGAGCAAAUAGG